rnacentral:rRNA from 1 species
UACGUAGGGUGCGAGCGUUGUCCGGAAUUAUUGGGCGUAAAGAGCUCGUAGGCGGUGUGUCGCGUCGGCCGUGAAAACCUGCAGCUUAACUGUGGGCUUGCGGUCGAUACGGGCAUCACUGGAGUUCGGCAGGGGAGACUGGAAUUCCUGGUGUAGCGGUGAAAUGCGCAGAUAUCAGGAAGAACACCCGUGGCGAAGGCGGCUCUCUGGGACGUGACUGACGCUGAGACGCGAAAGCGUGGGGAGCGAACAGG